CCAAAUACAAAUUAUUAGAAACAAAUUCUCAUAUUGAACCAUCAAGUGAUAAUUAAUAAAACAAAAAUAUAGCUAUGCUUUUUUUAAGAGACAAAUUAAAUUAUGAUUAAAAAGUAUUAGCACAAUUCAUGCUAGCAUAUGAAGAAGUAUAGACACAUUAUAACCACAAAUUGCAUUCAUACGGCUACAAAUCAAGCAGCAAAAACAACAUAAUUACAAAACAGAUCUUACACAUAAAUAGCAAAAAAAAUAACAAUUAUAAACAUUUUUCUUUUGCCACACAACUCCAAGCAGGGAGACAAUUUAUCUGCCAAGAUAAGCAACACCUUGACAUGCAUUUGCAACCAAAUAAGCUAAUCAACAUGCACCAAAAUGUAAAUCAUGAAUUUAUCUGCCAAGAUAAGCAACACCUUGACAUGCAUUUGCAACCAAAUAAGCUAAUCAACAUGCACCAAAAUGUAAAUCAUGUCAUUUGAAUAACUAAGUGAUGGCAUAUUUUCUUUAAAAACAAAGGCAAGAUCUAUGUUCCAAGUAAAUCUUUUCAAAACAAAAUAUCAUGAAUAAAAAGGUACAAUAUAAAGAAUGUGAAAAUUACCACUGCCGGCGGAAGAACCUGGAGAGAGUAAGCCCGGCUAUUAUGUUAUUAUUUUAGAGUUGUUGUAAAGAAACUUGAGCAUAGUCAUGUAGUUGUUACCGUCGCCGUAAACAUGACCGAACCGAAAUAAAUCUUCCCCUAAACUUGCAAGAACAAACUCGGCGAAGUGACUCAACCUCGUCAGUAUGGUUGCUUGAAGGUUGACGUCGUGGAGCAUGGUUACUGAGUUUAUUCAUACGGCGAUGUCGUGGUAUGGUGAAGGAAGUGGAAUACAUCGACGAAAUCUUAUGUUAGAUGCGGUGGCCGGUCAUGUGUGUUUGACAAGUAGAUGAUGGUGGACAUGAAGGUUGUUUCGGGGUGAGUCGGAAGUGAAU
rnacentral:lncRNA from 1 species